CUGCAAUCAGUUAAGCUGAAUAUGCUCUAUCACCCCUGGGGACCUAGUGUGCAAUUGUUGCAAACAGUAGCCUCUGUGGUAGUAUGUACAGCCUGUUGUUUGUACUGGUUGCCCUAAGGGACAAUGGAAACAACC
ensembl:snoRNA SNORA70 Small nucleolar RNA SNORA70